AUUUUGGUUAAGUAUGAGCGGUUUUUGAUUAUUUCUAGUAUAGAUACAACUCUUAGGAUAAGUCGAAAUAAGACCAAUUUUAUAUUUGGAUAAAAUUAAUUAGAUAAUUUUUAGAAAUAAGAAAAAAAGCAUUUAGAUAGCUAGAUUGGAAUAAGAGUAAUUAUAGUUUUAAAAUAAUAAUAUUUCGUAUAAUUAAAUAAUAAUUUAAUUAAUUAAUUAAUUAAUCAUGAAUACUACUAAAAUAAUUAAAACUAAUAAUUAAUAAUUAAUAUUAAUGAAUACUGUCAAUUAAUAAAUUAAUUAACCAUGAGCAAUAAAUUAAUUAAUUAAUUAAUUAAUUAUCUAAUAGUUAGAUAAUUAGUUAAAAAUACUACAAAAUGUAAAAGUUUUUUUUCAUGAAAAAUUAUUUUCCACAGUCUACGUUGAAUCAAGGCCAAUUUGCAUAAAAAAUCCACUUAUUUUGGGCUUUUAUAAAAUCGGGCCACCUUUUUCGUUUUUACAGAUUCGGUCCGUUUUUUCAGUAAACUGACCAAAAUACUCUUAUUACUUUUUCUCUUUCCUCUUUCUCUCUCCUCUUCGUUUCUCUCGUUCUUUUUUUUUUCUCACCGAAAAAAGUAACGAAGGCAGAGGGAGGCGGAAACGGUUCGCCUCGCCUAUCACCCUCAUGCUCUCGCCCUCGCCCUUGCCCUCGCCCACGCACCCCCCAACUUCCUCGCCUUCGACCCCGCCAAGGCCGCGCCGCGACUUUUUUUUAUUUUAUUUUUUUCUUUUCUUUUCUUUCCCGACUCUCCUCCACCGUCUCCGACGACGACGCCUCUCUCGCUCUUUCCCGCCCUUCUCGCCUCUCCAUCUACCUCCUUCUCUGUUGCCUUCGACGAUGAUGCAUUUUCGCCGGCGCCGACG
rnacentral:lncRNA from 1 species